AGGCGUAUAGCUCAGUUGGUUAGAGCGCUGCGUUCACAUCGCAGAGGUCUGCGGUUCGAGCCCGCAUACGCCUA
rnacentral:tRNA from 1 species